GAUGAACGCUAGCGGGAGGCCUAACACAUGCAAGCCGAGCGGUAGAGAUCUUUCGGGAUCUUGAGAGCGGCGUACGGGUGCGGAACACGUGUGCAACCUGCCUUUAUCUGGGGGAUAGCCUUUCGAAAGGAAGAUUAAUACCCCAUAAUAUGUUGGAUGGCAUCAUUCGACAUUGAAAACUCCGGUGGAUAGAGAUGGGCACGCGCAAGAUUAGAUAGUUGGUGAGGUAACGGCUCACCAAGUCUGCGAUCUUUAGGGGGCCUGAGAGGGUGAUCCCCCACACUGGUACUGAGACACGGACCAGACUCCUACGGGAGGCAGCAGUGAGGAAUAUUGGACAAUGGGUGAGAGCCUGAUCCAGCCAUCCCGCGUGAAGGACGACGGCCCUAUGGGUUGUAAACUUCUUUUGUAUAGGGAUAAACCUACUCUCGUGAGAGUAGCUGAAGGUACUAUACGAAUAAGCACCGGCUAACUCCGUGCCAGCAGCCGCGGUAAUACGGAGGGUGCAAGCGUUAUCCGGAUUUAUUGGGUUUAAAGGGUCCGUAGGCGGAUCUGUAAGUCAGUGGUGAAAUCUCACAGCUUAACUGUGAAACUGCCAUUGAUACUGCAGGUCUUGAGUGUUGUUGAAGUAGCUGGAAUAAGUAGUGUAGCGGUGAAAUGCAUAGAUAUUACUUAGAACACCAAUUGCGAAGGCAGGUUACUAAGCAACAACUGACGCUGAUGGACGAAAGCGUGGGGAGCGAACAGGAUUAGAUACCCUGGUAGUCCACGCCGUAAACGAUGCUAACUCGUUUUUGGGCUUUCGGGUUCAGAGACUAAGCGAAAGUGAUAAGUUAGCCACCUGGGGAGUACGAACGCAAGUUUGAAACUCAAAGGAAUUGACGGGGGCCCGCACAAGCGGUGGAUUAUGUGGUUUAAUUCGAUGAUACGCGAGGAACCUUACCAAGGCUUAAAUGGGAAAUGACAGGUUUAGAAAUAGACUUUUCUUCGGACAUUUUUCAAGGUGCUGCAUGGUUGUCGUCAGCUCGUGCCGUGAGGUGUUAGGUUAAGUCCUGCAACGAGCGCAACCCCUGUCACUAGUUGCCAUCAUUAAGUUGGGGACUCUAGUGAGACUGCCUACGCAAGUAGAGAGGAAGGUGGGGAUGACGUCAAAUCAUCACGGCCCUUACGCCUUGGGCCACACACGUAAUACAAUGGCCGGUACAGAGGGCAGCUACACAGCGAUGUGAUGCAAAUCUCGAAAGCCGGUCUCAGUUCGGAUUGGAGUCUGCAACUCGACUCUAUGAAGCUGGAAUCGCUGGUAAUCGCGCAUCAGCCAUGGCGCGGUGAAUACGUUCCCGGGCCU
rnacentral:rRNA from 1 species